CACCGGCAGCUCUAGUGGUAGCAGUUUUUAUUGGGCCUAAAGCGUCCGUAGCCGGUUUAAUAAGUCUCUGGUGAAAUCCUGCAGCUUAACUGUGGGAAUUGCUGGAGAUACUAUUAGACUUGAGAUCGGGAGAGGUUAGAGGUACUCCCAGGGUAGAGGUGAAAUUUCUGUAAUCCUGGGAGGACCGCCUGUUUGCGAAGGCGUCUGACUGGAACGAUUCUGACGGUGAGGGACGAAAAGCUAGGGCGCG
rnacentral:rRNA from 1 species